rnacentral:tRNA from 1 species
UAUAAGUUGGCAGAUUAAUGCAAAUAAUUUAGGAUUAUUUUAUAGGAUUCCUACUUAUAA